rnacentral:lncRNA from 10 species
CUUCUGCUUUGCUUCCUUCCAUACCAACCUCUCGCUCCAUGAAUGUUCCUUCACCAGCUCUGCCUCCUUGCCCCAACCUCUAAAUCUUGGCGUUCCGCAGGACUAACCCUCGGCCUUCUUCUCUUUGACACUCACCCCCAGGUGAUUGCAUGAUUUCACAUAGCAUCUAUAUGAGGAUGACUCUCAAAAACCUGUCUCCACCCCCAGUCUCCCCUGAACUCCAGACCGGUACAUCCACCUGCCUACUGUAUAUCUCCUCUUGGGUAUAGGAUGAGCAUCUACAAAG